rnacentral:rRNA from 1 species
UUGGAGGGCAAGUCUGGUGCCAGCAGCCGCGGUAAUUCCAGCUCCAAUAGCGUAUAUUAAAGUUGUUGCAGUUAAAAAGCUCGUAGUUGAAUUUCGAGAUCAAAUUGUUGGUCGUGCCUUGGUACGUACUGACAUUAUUGGUUUCUCCCUUCUGAAGAACCAUGAUGUCAUUAAUUUGGUGUCAUGGGAAAUCAGGACUGUUACUUUGAAAAAAUUAGAGUGUUUAAAGCAGGCUCGCGCUUGAAUACAUUAGCAUGGAAUAAUGAAAUAGGACGUUUAAUUCUAUUUUGUUGGUUCCUAGGAUUGACGUAAUGAUUAAUAGGGAUAGUUGGGGGCAUUAGUAUUCAAUUGUCAGAGGUGAAAUUCUUGGAUUUAUUGAAGACUAACUACUGCGAAAGCAUUUGCCAAGGAUGUUUUCAUUAAUCAAGAACGAAAGUUAGGGGAUCGAAGACGAUCAGAUACCGUCGUAGUCUUAACCAUAAACUAUGCCGACUAGGGAUCGGAUGAUGUUAAUUUUUUAAUGACUCAUUCGGCGCCUUACGGGAAAC